rnacentral:misc_RNA from 1 species
CCACCUUUCACCACCGAACCUCUGGCUCCUCCCUCCAUUAAAAAACCCACCGAAUUGCAAUAAUUAAGUUGAUUUGCAAAUUUCCAUUGAUUCACCAAACCUUUAACCCCCCCUUGCCCCCCUUGUUUUUCCAAGGGGCUUCCCGUUUUAAUUGUCUUUAAUCCCCCACCCCCCCCAAUGGAUUUCGGGGGGCCUUGAACUUUGAACCGGGCUGCCAAAGGUCGCCUCCCCUUUAAUUGCUUCACCGAAAAAACCUUUUGUCUUUCCGGCCUUCGGGGUGUUAUUUGGGUUGCCCCCCGUGGAACCUUCACCAAUCCGUUACCACCGGUCUUCGAACAAACCCUCAGGUCACCUUGCCUUCAAUUCAGGUAGGACUCCCCCUUAAAUUUAACC